UAGGGAAUCUUCGGCAAUGGACGAAAGUCUGACCGAGCAACGCCGCGUGAGUGAAGAAGGUUUUCGGAUCGUAAAACUCUGUUGUUAGAGAAGAACAAGGACGUUAGUAACUGAACGUCCCCUGACGGUAUCUAACCAGAAAGCCACGGCUAACUACGUGCCAGCAGCCGCGGUAAUACGUAGGUGGCAAGCGUUGUCCGGAUUUAUUGGGCGUAAAGCGAGCGCAGGCGGUUUCUUAAGUCUGAUGUGAAAGCCCCCGGCUCAACCGGGGAGGGUCAUUGGAAACUGGGAGACUUGAGUGCAGAAGAGGAGAGUGGAAUUCCAUGUGUAGCGGUUAAAUGCGUAGAUAUAUGGAGGAACACCAGUGGCGAAGGCGGCUCUCUGGUCUGUAACUGACACUGAGGCUCGAAAGCGUGGGGAGCAAACAGG
rnacentral:rRNA from 1 species